rnacentral:lncRNA from 1 species
UGGCAAUUUAAUUUUUAGUCCCUUUCAAAUAGAAAUGAUGCAUUGAGGGCAUGGUUUCUGAAGGAAUGCAGCUGGGUUUUCCACCCUUGGAUAAAUUACCUGGCCCUUCCAGGCCACGUUUGGUCCCUGCUGAGAGCCACGAAGCUGCUGUGGAGAGGCAUCGUUGUAGCAAUUUGGGGUCCAGAAGUGGCUUAGGUCUGUGUUCAUGGUGCCAUGGCCUUUGAGGAAGGCAGCAGUUCUAGGAUCACAUUGAAGAGAGCUCUCAUUGCCUCAGAGCCUUGGGUUUGUCUUUGCACCAAGGAGGGCUGGUUGCCUGUGGAGCAGGCAGCUUGGGGACACAGCGUUGCUGGCUUCACACCAACUCAAACAAAGGUACAGCAAGGAAACAUUCAGCUUCCAGUUCUUUUUGCCAUAACUACUGCCAAGAAAUGUUUUCGGGGGUUUCGGAAAUCAUCUGGGCUGCCUCACUAUAGACUUUGACAUGCCCAGAAGAUGACUGAGAAGUGCUGAGGACUGAGGAUCCCCUAAAGACCUGUCUCCUUUAACAUCAGUCACUCUAAUGAAACACUGACACCUGAAAUAGUUUUAGCACCAUCACCAGGGUCCGAAGCUUUCGCCUCAGGCAAAGGCUGCUAGCACUUGUCCCAGUGUAAUAACUUGGGUAACAACCCUCUGUCACAAGCUGCUAUUUCUCCCAGAAAACAAAACCCAUGUGCCUCAGUUUCCUCUUUCACAACACAUAAAUGAUUGCACUACAAAGCACCAAUGACCAGUUCAAAGAGUUCCAGAUAACGUUUAACUGAUGCUUCUACAGCUGUAACAAGGUUAAAAUAAGGCUUUGGUAUUCUGUUCGUUAAUGGCUGGGUGUAGAGUGGUCAGUUAUGAGUAUUUCCCAUACAUCUUCUGGGUUCAAGGACUGGUGGUUAACCUGUCCCUGAGUUAUAGUCACCCAAGGGUGACUUCACAUUUUCCCAGGUAUUUCACAGGUAUGUUUGGUAAUAAAGAGUUGAAGUCAUAGUUUCUUUAAGAACUGCUUGGGUCGCAGCUCUCUGUGAUGCCAUAAAACAGUGCAGAGCUGUGCUUAGUACUGCCAGCUGGAGUGAUCUUGGUUCACCAUCACUGAGGAGCUGCUCGAUUGACUUCAUGGCUGCUGUAUUCAGAAUCCACUUGGCCACUUUUGACUUUUAUGCUUUCUAAAAUUAGCCAAUAAAGCAAUUAGAAAUAGAUAACAGAAGGAGAGAGUACUUCACCAGUGAAAGAGAAAGAAAAUAGCGUGGCAUGAUUUGGAGCUGGCAGCAGCGAAAAUGAGCUGUACCAACCUACUGCCACUGGGAGUAUGACUGCAGGCACAGCUGCAGAUGUCUAACGUAAUGGCAGAGAGAGACCUUUCCCCACGCAGUACAAUCUGGCCUGAGAAUGUGUUAGGACAGAAGGAAAUAAAACCAUCAUUGAGUGCUGGGAGGACAUAAAUGUUGCUGUCAAUCCUGCACUUGUGUCAGCCAGAGGAUAUAUCCAACUGAAAACUUCCACGUCAAGACAGGAAGAGAAUGAGUGUAACCAGAAAAUUCCAAGCUGGAGGACUGGGUUAAAUAUCAAAGGGAGUCCACUGUGCCAAAGAAGGAAUGAGUGGGUCCAGAGAUAGGAGAGAUUGUAUAGGAAAAAGGUCACCUCUUUUUCAGCGUUACGUGUUCUUAAUUUGCAUUGUUAUGGUGUCUAGAAGCACCAGGUGGAAAUCAUGGCCUCAUUGUGCUGGGAAUUGUGUGCAAACAUAAUGAUUAAAUGUUGCCAGCUCUGCAGAGGCUGAAAUAUCAGUCCCCAUCUCUGCAGAAUCACUAACCAGUAUAAUUAUUGCAGAAUAAGUUUUUCUGCAAUUAUUCUUCUGGAAUAUCUGUACCAUUUGAUUUAUUCUGGAGUAACCAAGCCUGAGGGGAAGAAAAGAUACAUUCGUUUUAGCUCCCACCUAGUGACUUUCACCAACAGUAAUAACUGCUCAGAGGCAGAAUCUGCACACUGUGUCUUCACUCACAUUCACUAAUUGUUUGUGCCUCAGUUUCCUUUUUACAUGGGGAUAGUAACCGCACUGCUGGCUCACUCCGCUCACAGAACGACCGUGAUAGGUGCAGGAGUGCUGCCCUGGGAGCACUGUACUGGCAGUGUCACACACAAGGGCUUGUUGGUCCUGUUAGUAAUGAUUAGAGAUUAGCUGGAGAAUAUAUAUAUUCUUUUCUUGUGUGUUUUCUGUCUGAAAAGGCUGCAGACAGCAUUUCAUUGUUUAAGAGUUACUUUACUAUUAGCAGGUGGGUGCGGACAAGCAGCUUAUGUUGCUGGAGGAAUUAAAACUGCAGCAUGGUGUCCUGCAGGAGUGACUGGGGAGUGAAAGCAAAGCUGAGGAUCCCCAAAGACUGUGUAUCUUAAAAUGUGAGCAGGGAGAUGGAAAUAAACCCUCCUGUGAUUUUUAAAGCAGUUCUGAGUCUAUUGUGGAUCCCCACUCAGAGGUUGUGAAUGGGAUCUUUUAAAAAGAGCAUUUUCCUAAUUUCCUAUUCUGUGUUUAACAAUUCCAAGCUAAGAUUUGAGGUUUAACGUUACAAGUGGCUUGACAGAUUAAGGUGGCAGAAACAAUCCCCUGCUCUACUUGCAGCGCUGCCUGCAGAUUGACCUCGUGUAAGCGGGUGCAGAGGUUAACCUGAGCGCUCCUGCUUUGCUGACUCUCAUCUUUGGCAGCUGAAUUUUGCCAGGCAGGGCUGAGCUGCGGUCUGCCAGUCCCCUCUGCUGGCUGCGGCAUGCUGAGGGCUGUGCUGCACUGCACUGCACGUCGCAUGAUGCCAGCACAGAAGAUUAAUAACCCUGGGCACAGCCUCAUCUCUGUUCCACCGCUACAAGCACCUGGCACCUCUCUUAUAGGACAGCAGCAGGAGAAAGAGUACCGGAAAAAGGAACCAACUGGGUAAUCUUAAAAAAAAACUUUGAAACCAAGGCAUUCUUCUCGGAGCAGAUAAGCUCCCCACUGGGAAUCUACAGCUAGAUGUUAAAUUUGCUGAGCUCACGGCCAAAUGUAAUGGCCUCUAAGUUCCAUAGGAGCCACUGUGCCUGCUCCCACCCUGACAUAUCACAGCCAUGGGCUCAGCAUCCCAACAGCCUCUCUGCUGCACCCUGGAUUGCUGGCAGAUCCUGCAGUGCGGACAGGGGUUGCUCAGGGCGGUUUUGCAGCUGGAUGCAAGGAGCUGAGAAGGGCAGCAGCAGCAGCGGGGCUGGCACCGGGCAGCAGCUCCUGAUGGCUUCCUGCCAGCCAGCCUGUCUGAGACGGAAACCCCAGUGAAAAGGCUGAUAACAACCCGUGCUUGUGGCCAGAGGCCCAGCAGCCCUGCAUGGGAGGGCAGAGCCCAGGGGAGUCCGCAUGAAGUCCAACACGAAGGCUCUGUGCUCUUACACUCUUUGCAGCAUUGCUCUGCAUGCACAAACUCCCUGGUGCCGAGAAGCACUGCACACCCUGUGCCCUGCCUAGGGCAAGCAUGGGCAUUGCAAAA